rnacentral:rRNA from 1 species
CCCUUAGAUGUUCUGGGCUGCACGCGUGCUACACUGAUAUUGCCAAUAUGUCAUUCUUAUCCGAAAUGGAUUGGGUAAUCAAGUAAUGAAAUUUCAUGCUUGGAAUCGGUAAUUGCAAUUUUAUCGUGAACGAGGAAUUCCUAGUAAGCACUAGUCAUCAGCUAAUGUUGAUUAUGUCCCUGCCCUUUGUACACACCGCCCGUCGCUACUACUGAUUGGGUGUUCAAGUGAGAUGCUUAGACCCUUGUUGCAUGGUUCAUUAUUGUGCUCCGAAAGGAAAAAGUUUCGAGCUUGAGUGUCUAGAGGAAGUAAAAGUCGUAACA